rnacentral:rRNA from 1 species
CCUACGGGUGGCCGCAGUGGGGAAUAUUGCACAAUGGAGGAAACCCUGAUGCAGCGAUGCCGCGUGAGUGAAGAAGUAUCUCGUUAUGUAAAGCUCUAUUAGUAGGGAAGAAAAUGACGGUACCUGAGUAAGGAGCAACGGCUAACUACGUGCCAGCAGCCGCGGGAAUACGUAGGGGGCAAGCGUUAUCCGGAUUUAUUUGGUGUAAUGGGAGCGUAGACGGCAGGGCAAGUCUGGUGUGAAAGGCUGGGGCUCAACUCCCGCACUGCUCGGGAAACUGUACGGCUGGAGUGUAGUGGAGGUAAGUGGAAUUCCUGGUGUAGCGGUGAAAUGCAUAGAGAUUAGACAGAACACCGAUGGCGAAGGCAGCUUAC